UACGUAGGGUGCGAGCGUUGUCCGGAAUUAUUGGGCGUAAAGAGCUCGUAGGCGGUGUGUCGCGUCGGCCGUGAAAACCUGCAGCUUAACUGUGGGCUUGCGGUCGAUACGGGCAUCACUGGAGUUCGGCAGGGGAGACUGGAAUUCCUGGUGUAGCGGUGAAAUGCGCAGAUAUCAGGAAGAACACCAACGGCGAAGGCAGCUCGCUGGGACGGAACUGACGCUGAGGCGCGAAAGCGUGGGGAGCGAACAGG
rnacentral:rRNA from 1 species